AGAGUUUGAUCCUGGCUCAGGACGAACGCUGGCGGCGUGCCUAAUACAUGCAAGUAGAACGCUGAAGAGAGGAGCUUGCUCUUCUUGGAUGAGUUGCGAACGGGUGAGUAACGCGUAGGUAACCUGCCUUGUAGCGGGGGAUAACUAUUGGAAACGAUAGCUAAUACCGCAUAACAAUGGAUGACCCAUGUCAUUUAUUUGAAAGGGGCAAAUGCUCCACUACAAGAUGGACCUGCGUUGUAUUAGCUAGUAGGUGAGGUAACGGCUCACCUAGGCGACGAUACAUAGCCGACCUGAGAGGGUGAUCGGCCACACUGGGACUGAGACACGGCCCAGACUCCUACGGGAGGCAGCAGUAGGGAAUUUUCGGCAAUGGGGGAAACCCUGACCGAGCAACGCCGCGUGAAGGAAGAAGUAAUUCGUUAUGUAAACUUCUGUCAUAGAGGAAGAACGGUGGAUAUAGGGAAUGAUAUCCAAGUGACGGUACUCUAUAAGAAAGCCACGGCUAACUACGUGCCAGCAGCCGCGGUAAUACGUAGGUGGCGAGCGUUGUCCGGAAUUAUUGGGCGUAAAGAGCAUGUAGGCGGCUUAAUAAGUCGAGCGUGAAAAUGCGGGGCUCAACCCCGUAUGGCGCUGGAAACUGUUAGGCUUGAGUGCAGGAGAGGAAAGGGGAAUUCCCAGUGUAGCGGUGAAAUGCGUAGAUAUUGGGAGGAACACCAGUGGCGAAGGCGCCUUUCUGGACUGUGUCUGACGCUGAGAUGCGAAAGCCAGGGUAGCGAACGGGAUUAGAUACCCCGGUAGUCCUGGCCGUAAACGAUGGGUACUAGGUGUAGGAGGUAUCGACCCCUUCUGUGCCGGAGUUAACGCAAUAAGUACCCCGCCUGGGGAGUACGACCGCAAGGUUGAAACUCAAAGGAAUUGACGGGGGCCCGCACAAGCGGUGGAGCAUGUGGUUUAA
rnacentral:rRNA from 1 species